ACGCUCAUUGUAGUUGUGUUUUUGUUAUUAUGUUUGUCGCUUUUUUUGUUUAUAUGUUUUGUUUGUUAUGUUACCUUUUUUUUUGUGUUGUUGUUUGUUGUGUUUUUGCGUGGGAACGGCGGUUGCUAUACAUGCAGUCGAGCGCACUGGCCCAACAGAAAUGACGUGCUUGCACUGAUUUGACGUUGGAUUCCCAGUGAGCGGCGGACGGGUGAGUAUACACGUGGGCAACCUGCCCCCCAGCGGGGGAUUACAUUUGGAAACAGGUGCUUAUACCGCAUAACUUGGAAAACCCCCUGUUUUUCCAAUAAAAGGUGGUUUCGGUCUAUCACUUUGGGAUGGGCCCGCGGUGCCUUAAGUUAGUUGGUGGGGUAACGGCUUCCCCAGGGCGUUGAUGCAUAGCCGAGUUGAGAGAUCUGAUCGGCCACAAUGGAACUGAGACCCCGUUCCUUAUUCUUGCGGGAGGCAGCAGUAGGGAUUCUUCCACAAUGGGCGCAAGCCUGAUGGAGCAACACCGCGUGAGUGAAGAAGGGUUUCGGCUCGUAAAACUCUGUUGUUGGAGAAGAACGUGCGUAAGAGUAACUGUUUACGCAGUGACGGUAUCCAACCAGAAAGUCACGGCUAACUACGUGCCAGCAGCCGCGGUAAUACGUAGGUGGCAAGCGUUAUCCGGAUUUAUUGGGCGUAAAGCGAGCGCAGGCGGUUGCUUAGGUCUGAUGUGAAAGCCUUCGGCUUAACCGAAGAAGUGCAUCGGAAACCGGGCGACUUGAGUGCAGAAGAGGACAGUGGAACUCCAUGUGUAGCGGUGGAAUGCGUAGAUAUAUGGAAGAACACCAGUGGCGAAGGCGGCUGUCUGGUCUGCAACUGACGCUGAGGCUCGAAAGCAUGGGUAGCGAACAGGAUUAGAUACCCUGGUAGUCCAUGCCGUAAACGAUGAGUGCUAGGUGUUGGAGGGUUUCCGCCCUUCAGUGCCGAAGCUAACGCAUUAAGCACUCCGCCUGGGGAGUACGACCGCAAGGUUGAAACUCAAAGGAAUUGACGGGGGCCCGCACAAGCGGUGGAGCAUGUGGUUUAAUUCGAAGCUACGCGAAGAACCUUACCAGGUCUUGACAUCUUGCGCCAACCUCAGAGAUGAGGCGUUCCCUUCGGGGACGCAAAGACAGGUGGUGCAUGGUCGUCGUCAGCUCGUGUCGUGAGAUGUUGGGUUAAGUCCCGCACCGAGCGCAACCCUUGUUAUUAGUUGCCAGCAUUCAUUUGGGCACUCUAUUGAGACUGCCGGUGACAACCCGGAGGAAGGUGGGGACGAAACGUCAGAUCAUCAUGCCCCUUUUGACGUGGGCUACACCCGUGUUUACAAUGGGGGGGUACAACGAGCAGCUAACCCGCGGGGGUGUGGGGAUUUUUUAAAGCCGGUCUCUUUUCUGACUGCGGUCUGGCCAACUCGACUGCACGAAGUCGGAAUCGCUAGUAAUCGCGGAUCAGCAUGCCGCGGUGAAUACGUUCCCGGGCCUUGUACACACCGCCCGUCACACCAUGGAAGUUUGUAACGCCCAAAGUCGGUGGCCUAACCAUUGGAGGAGCCGCUAGUUG
rnacentral:rRNA from 1 species